UACGUAGGGUGCGAGCGUUAAUCGGAAUUACUGGGCGUAAAGCGUGCGCAGGCGGUGAUGUAAGACAGGUGUGAAAUCCCCGGGCUUAACCUGGGAACUGCAUUUGAGACUGCAUCGCUGGAGUGCGGCAGAGGGGGAUGGAAUUCCGCGUGUAGCAGUGAAAUGCGUAGAUAUGCGGAGGAACACCGAUGGCGAAGGCAAUCCCCUGGGCCUGCACUGACGCUCAUGCACGAAAGCGUGGGGAGCAAACAGG
rnacentral:rRNA from 1 species